AAUCAUCUGUCGACUUGGGAUCUUCUCUUGCUUUCAGAGAACCUGAAGGAGACGGAGAGCUUUCUUGGCCCAUUUCAGCUCUAAGGUUGUUGAUACUCUGCUCCGAUUCAUCAAUCAGGUUCCAUCUCAUCAAUUUUAUAGAUUAUGGACCCGGACAUUGCCUGAAAUCGGGUUUGCAUUUGUUGAAGAAGGUUUUGCAUAAAAACAGUCAUGUCAGCGGUACUUUGUUUAGAAUUCCAAUUGUCGUGCCCAUCCAUUUCUUAAUUGGAGAUGAUUCUUUGCUGUUAACAGUGUGUGUGAGAGAGAACGACUGAUUCUGUGAAUUUGAUUUUGAUGUAUUCUUUAGUCUCUAUAAUCGUGGAUCUUUUGGAAAAUGGACUCAGGCACACAAGCUCAAUCAAAUGACAGAGAUUUUCAAUCUGGUCUUCCUCUACGUGCACCAUCAACAUUGGGUAAACGAAAACCUAAUAGAUUAGCUUCUUUUGUUUGGGAUCACUUCACUCUAUUGGGCUCAAGGGAUGAUCCAGAUGUUAGGUGUAAGUGUAAUUAUUGUGGAGUAGAUUAUGCUUGUGGUACUAAGAAGUGUGGUACUAGUACAUUGAGUAAUCAUUUCACAAAUCAUUGUAAGAAGUAUCCAGGUAGAUUAGUGGAUAAGAAGCAAAAAAUCUUAUCAUGGAGGGAGCAAUCUUAUUGCUGUUGGUCGAAGCAAGGAAGAGUGUAGAGUUGCAUGUGCUAAAAUGAUAGUUUUGGAUGAAUUACCUUUUAAGUUUGUUGAAGCUCGUGAUUUUAGGCUCUUUUGUAGUGUAGCAUGUCCUCAAUUUCAGGCUCCAUCUCAUUAGACUCUUGUUAGAGAUAUUUAUCAGUUGUAUUUAGAUGAAAAAUUGAAAUUGAUAGAUGUCUUUUCUUUUAACUGUUAAAGGGUUUCACUUACAACUGAUACUUGGACUUCUAUUCAGAAUAUUAAUUACAUGUCUCUUACAGCACACUGCAUUGAUCUUGAUUGGAUGCUUAAUAAGCGUAUUUUGAGUUUUUUUGUUGUUCCAAAUCAUGAGGGAGAAACAAUUGAAAAAAUGAUUAAGUCUUGUUUGCAUGAUUGGGGGAUACAGAAAAUUUUUGCAAUAACUGUUGAUAAUGCAAGUUCCAAUGACACAACCAUUUCUUAUCUUAGGCGAAAGUUAGUUUCUUGGGGGUAGUGAUGGAUGUGUUCUAAAUGGGAGGUAUUUGCCCUUGAGAUGUUGUGCGUACAUCAUCAAUUUGAUUGUUGUUGAAGGCUUGAGGGAAGCACAUGACUCCAUUGUGAAUAUUCACAAUGCAAUCAAAUAUGUGAAAUCUUCUCCGUCUGGGUAUGAAAGAUUGAUGGAGUGUGCAAAGAAAGAAAAGAUUGAGUGCAAGUCUAUUGUGUUUUUGGAUGUUCCAACUUGGUGGAAUUCUACCUAUUUGAUGUUGGAAACGAUGUUCAAAUUUGAAAAAGCUUUUGAUAGGUUAGAAGAAGAGGAUGCUUAGUAUUUGCAUUACUUUCGAGAUGAUGAUAAUGGUAGAAGGAGUGGUGGAUCUCUGUCAAAUUUAGAUUGGGAAAGUGCAUAUGUUUUUGCUAAAUUUCUUGAAAAUUUAUUCAAUGUGACUUUGAAGUUUAGUGCUUCAUUGCAAGCUAGUGCUUGUGCUUAUCUUCAUGAAAUUUGUAAUUUUGUAAUCGAACCGGAUGAAUGGAAAUUAAGGGGAAAUUACUUGUGUGAAAUGGUGACUAAUAUGAAGAAGAAGUUUGACAAGUAAUGGGGUAAAACAGAAAAUGUGAAUCAAUUGUUGCUUUUUGCUACUAUUCUUGAUCCAAAAUACAAAAUAGAUUAUGUUGAAUAUUGUUUGAAUGAUCUAUAUAUGGAUGGGGAAGUUGUUAGUAAUAUCAUGAAGUCUUUGAAAGCCAAUUUGAUGGAUAUUUAUGAGUGGUAUGUGAGUCAUGAAGGCAUUCAUGGAAUUAGUCAAGCAUCAACUGAAGAGUCUUCAAGUUCAAUCAAUGCUUAUAAAGGAUCUUUUUCUUCUAUGAGUGAUACUCGUCUUUCUAGAUUUAUGGAAAAAUAAGCAAUUAAGGUUAAAGUUGAGAUAAAAAAUGAUGUUGAAUGAUACUUAUUGGAUGCUCGUGAAAGCAUAGAGAAUAAGGAUUUUGAAGUUCUAGAUUGGCGGAAGUUGAACGGAAAUUAGUAUGGCGUCUUGUCCAAUUUGGCCAAAGAUAUGUUGGCAAUUCAAGUUUCAACUGUUGCUUCAGAAAGUGCAUUUAGUACUGGAGGAAGGAUACUUGAUCCUUUCCGUAUUUUCUUAAGUCCUAGAAUGGUUGAGGUCUUAGUAUGCACUCAAAAUUGGUUGAAGGCUUCUCCGAACUUGGAUGGUUUUUGCAUGGAAGAUGUUGAGCAUUACAACCAAAUGGAUGAACUUUUAGAAUCAAUGAAUUCAAAAUUAACUGAAGAUGACCAAGGGACCAAUGCUAAGUGAUUCAUUUCAUUUUACAUGGUUUCACUUUUGAGAUCAGAAUCAACAGCUGCCUUUAUUGUUGGGAUUUGUCUGGAGAUUGCAAACUGAGGUCUGAGAUGCAAUGGAUGGCAGCUCUUCUAAGAUGCAAUAUUUACAAUAGAUGACAGCCCUUUUGAGAUGCAAAGCUCCUAAUGAAUCAUUUUGUUUAUUUAGCUGUCUAUCACAAGUUUAUCGUCUAAAUUAGUUUCCAAGUUUAUUAACAUUGGAUCAUGAAUGUACUAGUUGUAUUUGGUUGAAUUUUUAUUCGAAUAGUUGUUCCCCGUACUAAAUAUUAAUCUUAUUUGGAUGACAUACAAGUUUUAUUUGA